rnacentral:rRNA from 1 species
GUGAGGAAUAUUGCGCAAUGGAGGCAACUCUGACGCAGCCAUGCCGCGUGCAGGAAGAAGGCGCUACGCGUUGUAAACUGCUUUUAACCGGGAAGAAACCCCAGGACGUGUCCUGGGUUGACGGUACCGGAGGAAUAAGCACCGGCUAACUUCGUGCCAGCAGCCGCGGUAAUACGAAGGGUGCAAGCGUUAUCCGGAUUCAUUGGGUUUAAAGGGUGCGUAGGCGGAGCGUUAAGUCAGUGGUGAAAUCCUGCAGCUUAACUGUAGACUUGCCAUUGAUACUGGCGCUCUUGAGUGCGCUUGAAGUGGGCGGAAUGUGCCGUGUAGCGAUGAAAUGCUUAGAUAUGGCACAGAACACCAAUUGCGAAGGCAGCUCACUAAGGCGAUACUGACGCUGAGGCACGAAAGCGUGGGGAUCGAACAGGAUUAGAAACCCGAGUAGUCC